CCCAUUCUGUAGAAGCUUAGGGACUUAUGUGCUAAAAAUAGGACCUAUAUGCAUUGUUCUCUGAAAUGUGUGGGAGGACGGGUUUAUAUGCAUAAAACGUGGGGGCUCUUUUGAAAGAUUGACAGUCCAAAGGGGUAUCGUCCACACUGAUCCGUCUGAUCUUACCCCGAUGGUGGGGAUUAGAUCAGACCGAGGUUAUAUUCCACUUGCGCCAUGACCGCUUGAUCAAAAAUCAAGGGCCAAGAUUGGACCACGACUUUUAUGAACCUGUGCAUGGUUUGAACCGUC
rnacentral:lncRNA from 7 species